GUUGCUAAGUGUGUUCAUCUCAAAUCUAAAAGCCACUUUCAUAACAACAACUUUGCUAUUCCUUAGCAUUUUGUCUCUUUAGGCAGCUUAUUUCCCAGUCAAAGUUAUAAUUUUGUAUUCAUAAUACCAUAAUCAUUUCCAUGGUAACUUCCUGUGAAGUCACAGAGAAAACACUAUUGACUUCUCCUGAGGCUCUGAUUUCCCAGUUGAAAUCAUAUGUUGAUUUUAUUUUUUCCAAUGUAAGUCAAAGAUUUACUAUUAAAAAUCCUGGGGAUGAGGUCUUAACACAGAAAACCCAUCUGUCGUCGCUACAGAGGACUACUAUGAAGAAAGCGCCUGGCAUAAUCUUGGCACAUCGAAGGCAUUCAAAAAAUACCAGUCGUCUCUCUUCACUCCCUCUAACUCUAACUCAUUUUAACCUCAUUUAAACUUUGAGGAAAAAGAACUCAAGGGAAAGACAGAAGAGAGAAAAAAAGAAAAGAGAAAGCAGAAAUGUGGGUUUUGCUGCAAAGAAAUACCAAAAUUGUUUCCAAUCAGUCAAAGUGAAUCAUCUGUCUACCAACAUGCCUCAUUUUUCAUUGUCUAUAGCUUCCAGAGGCUGCCUGCAUCACUUGCCUUGGGGCCCCUUCCUCCAUCUUCAACAGGAGGUUGAGUUCCUCAUCACAUAACAUCACUCGGACCUUGUCUUCUGCCUCGCUAUUCCACUUCUAAAAGCCCCAGUGAUUACACUGGACUCAUCCAAAUAACCCAGGAUCAUCAUCUCCUCUCCAGGAUCUUGUUCUGCGGCCCAGGCUGGAGUGCAGUGGCUUGUGGAAAACUGAACUCAUCUUUAUAAUUCCUUUUUUAUUGAGACUUACCUAGAAUAAUUAACAUUUGAAUUUAAUUAAAAACAGUUCUUUUGUCAAACUUAACCCAAUUCUCCAAUACUUUUGUAGGUCACCUUCUUUAAUAACAAUCAGAGGAAGAAUUUUCUGACUCUUCAAAACAGCAAUCUAAAUAUAAUACUUUAUUGUACAACACAUGAUGUCUUUUUUUUUGUGUCCCAAAUUGUGUUCCUUAGAACACCUGGAAACAUAAAUUGGUAUACCACCCCCCCACCCAAAAAAAAAACCUAUUCGGUGGCCACAUACAUUUGGAAAAGGACGUAUACCAUGCCUCUCUUUUAGAGGGUCACAAUGCAUACUAAGUGUUAAAAGUCCUCUAACUUUGUUUAACAUCACUGUUUUCAGAACGUUUUCCUAACAUCCCUAUAAAUAACCUGGGCUGAGGCAAGAAAGUGAGAAGUGAAUACUAAUGUAGAGCAUAUCUCCACAGAGUAUUACUCAUGAGUAAGCCCCACAGCUUACUCAUCACAACUGGGAACAAAACCAGCCCCACUUUAUGCUCCUGAGAGUAUACGACGGAUGAAAGGCAUUUCAAAUAUCAAAUGUCAAAUCAAUGCCAAAUUGCAACUACAAUUAAAAUCUACUUGAAACAACACAAAUAUGAAAAGGCUCCUGCUGUCUCUAAUUGUAUUUACAUGAGUGGGUCCUUUAAAAAACAAUGCUUGGCCAG
rnacentral:lncRNA from 1 species